rnacentral:rRNA from 1 species
UACGUAGGGUGCGAGCGUUAAUCGGAAUUACUGGGCGUAAAGCGUGCGCAGGCGGUUUUGCAAGCCGGAUGUGAAAUCCCCGGGCUUAACCUGGGAAUGGCAUUUGGGACUGCGAGGCUUGAGUGCGGCAGAGGAGACUGGAAUUCCUGGUGUAGCAGUGAAAUGCGUAGAUAUCAGGAGGAAUACCGAUGGCGAAGGCAGGUCUCUGGGCUGACACUGACGCUCAUGCACGAAAGCGUGGGGAGCAAACAGG